rnacentral:rRNA from 1 species
GCAUAUCAAUAAGCGGAGGAAAAGAAACCAACAGGGAUUCCCCUAGUAACGGCGAGUGAAGCGGGAACAGCUCAAAUUUGAAAUCUGGCCUUCGGGUCCGAGUUGUAAUUUGCAGAGGAUGCUUUUGGUGCGGUGCCUUCCGAGUUCCCUGGAACGGGACGCCUUAGAGGGUGAGAGCCCCGUACGGUUGGCCACCAAGCCUGUGUAAAGCUCCUUCGACGAGUCGAGUAGUUUGGGAAUGCUGCUCAAAAUGGGAGGUAUAUUUCUUCUAAAGCUAAAUACUGGCCAGAGACCGAUAGCGCACAAGUAGAGUGAUCGAAAGAUGAAAAGCACUUUGAAAAGAGGGUUAAAUAGCACGUGAAAUUGUUGAAAGGGAAGGGUUUAUGACCAGACCUUUUCUAGGGGGAUCAUCCGGUGUUCUCACCGGUGCACUUCCCCUAGUUGAGGCCAGCAUCGGUUUCUGUAGGGGGAUAAAAGCUUCGGGAAUGUGGCUCCUUCGGGAGUGUUAUAGCCCGUUGCAUAAUACCCUUACGGGGACCGAGGUCCGCGCUUCGGCUAGGAUGCUGGCGUAAUGGUUAUUAACCACCCGUCUUGAAACACGGACCAAGGAGUCGAACAUUUGUGCGAGUGUUUGGGUGUUAAACCCUCACGCGUAAUGAAAGUGAACGGAGGUGAGAGCCCUCACGGGUGCAUCAUCGACCGAUCCUGAUGUCUUCGGAUGGAUUUGAGUAAGAGCAUAACUGUUCGGACCCGAAAGAUGGUGAACUAUGCGUGGAUAGGGUGAAGCCAGAGGAAACUCUGGUGGAGGCUCGCAGCGGUUCUGACGUGCAAAUCGAUCGUCAAAUCUGCGCAUGGGGGCGAAAGACUAAUCGAACCAUCUAGUAGCUGGUUACCGCCGAAGUUUCCC